GGUGAACGCUGGCGGCGUGCCUAAUACAUGCAAGUCGAGCGGGGCAGGUUUAUACCUGUUCAGCGGCGGACGGGUGAGUAACGCGUGGGUGACCUACCCGGAAGAGGCUGACAACCUGGGGAAACCCAGGCUAAUCCGCCAUGUUGUCCUGUCCUGUGGUGCAGGACUAAAGGGUGGAUAGCCCGCUUCCGGAUGGGCCCGCGUCCCAUCAGCUAGUUGGUGGGGUAAAGGCCGACCAAGGCGACGACGGGUAGCCGGUCUGAGAGCAUGGCCGGCCACAGGGGCACUGAGACACGGGGGCCACUCGCACGAGAGGCAGCAGUUAGGAAUGCGACGCAAUGAGCGAAAGCCUGACGGAGCGACGCCGCGUGGAGGAGGAAGCAAAUCGGGGUGUAAAGUGAUGAACUGGGGACGAAAGACCCGUGUAGGGGGAUGACGGUACCAAGGUAAUAGCGCCGGCCAACUCCGUG
rnacentral:rRNA from 1 species